GAAGAUAUAUAAAUGAUAGUCAUUAAUUUUAAGGAAAAAGUUAUUUUUUCCCAUUUUAUAGGUUGACAGUAGGAUUACAGCUUCACUCCAAGAAUUUUCUUCUUACCAAGCCUGAGCAAAGAGCACCACUCCUAGACUACUUGUGCUUCUGUGUGCACGCUUCUCCAAAAAUCAAGUGACUUCACUGGUAGUUAAACUGAGAAAGACUGAGUAGAUGUGGCUGUCCCAACGCUACCUGCUUUCUUCCUCUUGCUGGCUGAGAUCCCAGGUAGAAGCUCUCAACAUGGAUAUUGAAUAGAAUAUGCCAUAAACUCUAAGACUAUUAACUGCCUUUUAAACUUCGGAACAGUGUCCCUGUGCACCACCGUGAUCCUCAAGUGUGUCUCUCCUAACUGUGU
rnacentral:lncRNA from 12 species